rnacentral:ncRNA from 2 species
AAGAAAAAUCCGGGAGAGAUUAUGCAGGCUUCCAUUUCGCCGGAAAGCUGCUGCAUAGCGCCGAAGGGGCAGUCGCAACAAACUCUCAGGCAGAAGGACCGGAUUGGGACG